AUGGGUCGUCCUGAUUCGGAGGCGCCGACGUCGAGCAUCGCCGCGGGGCUGGCUGCUCUCCACGACCACGCCCACGGACACGGGGGAGGCGCGGGGGCGCCGACGAGUGCGGGCUCGGCCUUCGACACCAACGUGGUGAUCAUCCUUGCCGCGCUCUUCUUCGCGCUGCUGUUCGCCAUCGGGCUCAACUCGCUGGCGCGGUGCGCGCUCCGGUACGUGGGGCGAGGAGCCGCGGUCGCCGUCGGCCAGGCCGGGGCGACGGAGCGGGUGGCCUGCAGCGGCAGCGGCAUCAAGAGGCGCGUGCUGAGGAGCCUCCCCGUGGAGGUGUACGGCUCCGGGGAGGACAUCGACGACGUGUGCGCCAUAUGCCUCGGGGAGUUCGUCGACGGCGAGAAGGUGCGCGUGCUGCCGCAGUGCGGGCACGGGUUCCACGUCCGGUGCGUCGACGCAUGGCUGGUGUCUCACAGCGCGUGUCCGACGUGCAGGCGGCCGGUGAUCAUGGGCGCUCCCGCGAAGGGCGGCGACGGCGGCAUUGGCGUAUGUGAAGCGUAG
rnacentral:rRNA from 1 species